UACGAAGGGGGCUAGCGUUGCUCGGAAUCACUGGGCGUAAAGCGCACGUAGGCGGCUUUUAAGUCAGGGGUGAAAUCCUGGAGCUCAACUCCAGAACUGCCUUUGAUACUGAGAGGCUUGAGUCCGGGAGAGGUGAGUGGAACUGCGAGUGUAGAGGUGAAAUUCGUAGAUAUUCGCAAGAACACCAGUGGCGAAGGCGGCUCACUGGCCCGGUACUGACGCUGAGGUGCGAAAGCGUGGGGAGCAAACAGG
rnacentral:rRNA from 1 species